UACGAAGGGGGCUAGCGUUGUUCGGAAUCACUGGGCGUAAAGGGCGCGUAGGCGGCCAUAUAAGUCGGGGGUGAAAGCCUGUGGCUCAACCACAGAAUUGCCUUCGAUACUGUAUGGCUCGAGACCGGAAGAGGUAAGUGGAACUGCGAGUGUAGAGGUGAAAUUCGUAGAUAUUAGGAGGAAUACCGGUGGCGAAGGCGGCCUUCUGGACCAUUCCUGACACUGAGACGCGAAAGCGUGGGUAGCAAACAGG
rnacentral:rRNA from 1 species